GGAAUUCCACAGAAUGUCAAAUGUUCUGAUCCUAGAGGCUCAGAGACUGGAGUGGCCCUAGUUCCACAGGAGGAGAAAGACUUUCUCUUUUUAAAACCGGAAAUAUAUCCUGCCUGAAAUAAUUUGGAGAACUCCUCGUUGUGAAGUCUACAGGGACAUCAAAAAAACACAGCUAUCUGUUCCCCAGCUAUAUCUUCUUCUUUAUCCCUUGGAACAUUUGUAGCUGCACUUCCUACAAGAAGGAACCAUUUGUAAUCAUGAGCAAAGGUUGAUUCAAGAUUUUAUCGAAGCCUUUCUCCAUCUUGUGAUGAGCAGCGGCUGCCACCACUGCCACCUCAUUCAGUCAUUCUCGGUCUCAAAAUGC
rnacentral:lncRNA from 1 species